rnacentral:rRNA from 1 species
AUACGUAGGGGGCGAGCGUUGUCCGGAAUGAUUGGGCGUAAAGGGCGCGUAGGCGGCCCGGUAAGUCUGGAGUGAAAGUCCUGUUUUUAAGAUGGGAAUUGCUUUGGAUACUGUCGGGCUUGAGUGCAGGAGAGGUAAGUGGAAUUCACAGUGUAGCGGUGAAAUGCGUAGAGAUUGGGAGGAACACCAGUGGCGAAGGCGACUUACUGGACUGUAACUGACGCUGAGGCGCGAAAGUGUGGGGAGCAAACAGGAUUAGAUACCCUGGUAGUCCACACUGUAACCGAUGAAUGCCAGGUGUAGGGGGUAUCGACCCCUUCUGUGCCGCAGUCAACACAAUAAGCAUUCCGCCUGGGGAGUACGGGCGCAAGGUUGAAACUCAAAUGAAUUGACGGGG